UCCAGCACCAUGAGAGUUAUCCUUCUUAGAAAUUCCUAAGACUCAAUGCUGCGUGUAAGAUUCUAAGAAAGAAAACAGUUUCCGAUCUUUGGGAUUCCCCUGAGAUGGUCCAAUCCGCGAAAAGUUCAUUGCCAUUUCCCUCAAGGACACUGAGCACAGGAGUCUUAUCCGAUUGGAUCCUGGGAAUCGAGAAGCUUCAGCAGAUGGGAAAUGCACCCUCCACAGGCUCACAUCCCUGUGGGCUAUUUCAGUUACCUAUUGCACUCUAAAAUUAGAAACUUUAAACCACCACAAUUCCUUAUUGCUCAUGACCCUGUGAGUUGCAUGGGGACUUCCAGGCUGGUUUAACCUGGGCUCAUUUGUGUGGCUACCUGCAGCUGGAGGGCCACCUGGGCGGAACAUCCAGGAUGGCCUCACACAUGUGCCUGGCAGUUGGU